UGCUGCUUCGCUGACAAGUGGCGGACGGGUGAAUAAUGUCUGGGAAACUGCCUGAUGGAGGGGGAUAACUACUGGAAACGGUGCCUAAUACCGCAUAACGUCGCAAGACCAAAGAGGGGGACCUUCGGGCCUCUUGCCAUCGGAUGUGCCCAGAUGGGAUUAGCUAGUAGGUGGGGUAACGGCUCACCUAGGCGACGAUCCCUAGCUGGUCUGAGAGGAUGACCAGCCACACUGGCAACUGAGACGCGGUCCAGACUCCUACGGCGAGGCAGCAGUGGGGAAUAUUGCACAAUGGGCAGCAAGCCUGAUGCAGCCAUGCCGCGUGUAUGAAGAAGGCCUUCGGGUUGUAAAGUACUUUCAGCGGGGAGGAAGGGAGUAAAGUUAAUACCUUUGCUCAUUGACGUUACCCGCAGAAGAAGCACCGGCUAACUCCGUGCCAGCAGCCGCGGUAAUACGGAGGGUGCAAGCGUUAAUCGGAAUUACUGGGCGUAAAGCGCACGCAGGCGGUUUGUUAAGUCAGAUGUGAAAUCCCCGGGCUCAACCUGGGAACUGCAUCUGAUACUGGCAAGCUUGAGUCUCGUAGAGGGGGGUAGAAUUCCAUGUGUA
rnacentral:rRNA from 1 species